rnacentral:rRNA from 1 species
CACGCCGUAAACGAUGGACACUAGGCGUCGGGGGGAGCGACCCUCCCGGUGCCGUCGCUAACGCAGUAAGUGUCCCGCCUGGGGAGUACGGCUGCAAGGCUGAAACUCAAAGGAAUUGACGGGGGCCCGCACAAGCGGUGGAGCAUGUGGUUUAAUUCGAAGCAACCCGAAGAACCUUACCUGGGCUUGACUUGCUGGUGCCCCCCCCCCCCUCCCUCUUCCCCUCUUCGGAGCCCUUAAAGAGCCCCACCGACUGCAGAACACAGGAACACGGUUUUGUGU